ACCGAAAUAUCGAUUCUCGUAUUGACGCUACAAAAUAGCCGAUUUUUCUUAACGAAGAAGUCAGUGUCUAUAUUUUUUUAAUAUUUACGACCGAUUUGCCAAUUUAUUCAAAUUAAUUUCUGUUAAUCUCUUUUAACCUAUUAAAGUUUAUCUAGAAAUUAAGUACCUGUUGAUUUAUUUGUUCAACACUAACAAUUUUUGAUUAGUUUUUCUAUUUUACGCUU